rnacentral:rRNA from 2 species
AGCGGUGGAGCAUGUGGCUUAAUUNGAAGCAACGCGAAGANCCUUACCAAAUCUUGACAUCNUNUGACCCCUCUAGAGAUAGAGUUUUCCCCUUCGGGGGACAGAGUGACAGGUGGUGCAUGGUUGUCGUCAGCUCGUGUCGUGAGAUGUUGGGUUAAGUCCCGCAACGAGCGCAACCCUUAAGCUUAGUUGCCAUCAUUAAGUUGGGCACUCUAAGUUGACUGCCGGUGACAAACCGGAGGAAGGUGGGGAUGACGUCAAAUCAUCAUGCCCCUUAUGAUUUGGGCUACACACGUGCUACAAUGGACAAUACAAAGGGCAGCGAAAUCGCGAGGUCAAGCAAAUCCCAUAAAGUUGUUCUCAGUUCGGAUUGUAGUCUGCAACUCGACUAUAUGAAGCUGGAAUCGCUAGUAAUCGUAGAUCAGCAUGCUACGGUGAAUACGUUCCCGGGUCUUGUACACACCGCCCGUCACACCACGAGAGUUUGUAACACCCGAAGCC